CUAUAUAAGCAUUUGUGUGGCAGUAGCUCCCUAUUUGAUCUGCUCUCCCAAGCAGCAUUGCUGUACCAAGAACCAGUGGAUUCCUCAGCACUGCAACAUUUCCUGCAGUGUGAGGGAGCUCCCUCAAUGUCCCCAUGGCAAGCUGCUAAGCUACAGGAAUUAGAAAUCAUUCAGAAGGACACAGUGCUUUGAAACUACAAGACACCCACCUGCCUGGGAGCCAGGCGAGGCUGGUCACAUCGCUGUAGUAGACAGGCCUGCAUGUGAAGGCAGUUCUGGCAUGAGUCACGGCUCUUUGAGGUCCAUCUCUUCCUGAGGUGUGCAUGGGCAGCAGUGAAGCAGAGAGUGCUGUGAAGGGCAGAAGCAUUGAUGGAAGGAAGCAAUUAGCCUCUUCAAUAGAGAAGAAUGAGUGAACUUAAAAGUCCAAGGAUGUCUAGAGUCUGGAGAUACUUAAAACUUUAACAGAGCGGGCUGCCAUUACUGCUGACAUCAGUGAAGAGAUUCCCACUGAAUUUCAAGAGUGACUGGAUUAGUUACCAGGCUUUUAUACUAGAAAGGGUUUGAUCUGCAGAAGUUAUGUCAGCAUAACAACUUCACAGCAGCCAGUGAGACUUCUGUCAGGUGUGUGGUUUACCAGGAGGAAUCUUCAGCUGGAAAAAAAUUCUCAGGUGCUUUGCACUGAAUGGAAAGCGUAAAAAAUUUUAUUAAUGUUUUUUGUAUAGUGUUUAUUGCUUCAUUUCAGUACUCCCUAACAUUAAAAAAAACACCAAAACAACCCUUUUCUGAAGUAAUUCUCUAUUUCCUACAAAUCUUA